GAAGCCUUAGUUUAAGUAAAGCGUCUGAUUUGCAUUCAGGAGAUGUAGAAUGGUUCUAUAGGUUUUA
rnacentral:tRNA from 1 species